AGUGAACGCUGGCGGCAGGCCUAAUACAUGCAAGUCGAACGGCAGCACAGCAGAGCUUGCUCUGUGGGUGGCGAGUGGCGGACGGGUGAGGAAUACAUGGGAAUCUGCCCAGUCGUGGGGGAUAACGUAGGGAAACUUACGCCAAUACCGCAUGCGCCCUUCGGGGGAAAGCCGGGGGACCUUCGGGCCUGGCGUGAUUG
rnacentral:rRNA from 1 species